rnacentral:lncRNA from 1 species
AUGUGUUUUGCAUUCUGUUUUUUGCAGAUGAAGUGCUCCUUUUUCAACACUCCUGAUUGUCUUCAGACCAUUGAUGAGGAUAUAAGGGAAUUUAAGAAAACAUUUGGUAAUUUUACGACUCAUAAGGCAGAAACGUUGCUACUAGAAAUAAUUGAAACACUGGAUUUUUUCUCUUCUGAUGAGAAUAGUAAAAUUGGAAAUUUACUGAAGUUAAAGGAGACGGUUGAGGCUCUGGAAAACGAAAUCAAGGAAGAGUACUCAGGUGAUAGCUCCUUAGAAAAUUUUGUAGCGUUGGAGAAGGAGAUAAAAUGCAUGGCAAAAACUUGCUCAGAUCUUCAGCGGGAACGGAAGGAACUCCAGGAAAAUAUUGAGAAAUUACAUUCUUUAUGGACCCAAAAAAAUUAUGAAAUGGAUGAAAUCAUUGACAAGGUGAUGGACAAGUUCAACCAAUUAGAACAAAUUACCAAACUAUACGAGAAGCACCUUGGUGUUUAUUUGUGUCCUGUAGGUGACAGUUCUUUCCGAUUGAUGUUUAAUAAUGAUCUAAAACAACCUUUGUUCAUCAAUUUGAAGUAUGAAAAUGGUUUGAUCAAAAUCGUAAAUGUUAACACGAGCACCCAGGACAAAGAAGCCAUUUUGAAAAAAGUUAAAUCCUCUUCAGAUUAUCAAGGACUUUUAUUUUUGAUGGAUUCGUACAGGAAGUAAGAAAUUGGUCAGGUAAGAUAAUGUGAAGAUAGUGCUUUUUAUUGAUUCACUCAGGGUUUCAAAAAGGGCAGCGCACUGAUUAUCCAGAAAUUUGGCGCCUGCUUCGUUUUGGUAUUAUUUGAUAAGAUGUUCGUUCCGGCCUUCUGAAUACGUUGAGCUUUCAAAAUCUGACUUUUGUCAAGGUCGAGAAAAGCAGGGCUGAGAAGUGAAUUUAUUGGCUUUCCUACAUGCGUUUUCUGACGAAAUUUUGGAGCUGUCGUUAAACGAGAAAGAAAAUGAAAUUCAAUUGAAUAAAUGUUCAAUCGGUCAAUUUAUCUCUACUUAAAAAAUAAGGCACAGUUUGAUCUUAUAAAGUCCAAUCGGCAGGACUUUUCAACAUUCAACUUACUGCCAGUAUGUGCCUCAAUUUGUAAUUUAUAUUUUAUAUGUCUUUUAAUUUUCAUUUUGCACUCUUUAAUGUAUGAUUGAGGAUAUUUUAAUUUUGCCUUUGGAGUGCUUAAACCUCUAUAUUUUUUACUCUGGAUCCAUGUUGGGGUGUAAAAUUAAUAUUUUGCUGGUUAAAUUAAAUGAAAUAUGUAGUUGUGUGUGCAUUUCAUCAUCUAUUGUACCUGAGCUUUUUGAAAAAUUAAGGAACCAACUCUGUUGCGAUUGUAAGCAAUAGUGAAUAUCCUAGGAGAUCAUUUAUCUUUUAAACUCAUGUUCAGACUUUUUUUAAUCUGUUGUCAACUGCAUAUUUGCUCUGUUUUCCACUCAAUAAAUUAUUAAUUUUUUUCAAGUAUUCCUUUGACUGGCCAUUCUUGCUCCUACAAUUCAUGCAGUUGAAUGAUAAAAUGCUAAAUUUCUUUACAAAGUUUAAGAUAUUUUGUCCCCCCUAACUGAUAGCAAAUUCAGGUUUUAGUGAAGUGAGAAUAUUAGUCGUAACCACCUUAGUGCUUAAAAUGUAGAACUUAACUCGAGGUAUUGGCUACUUUGCUUGGGAUGUUGUUCAACAAGCAUUUUAGCACAAAAACCGCCCAAAAAGUUUCCGUCAACCCGGAUUCUGGCGAUUUAAAAUAGACAGCUCAGAGUUUAUAGUUUUGCGUGAAAGCAAUUUAAAGAUUCCAUCUGCCAAGUUUGAGCUCAAAAUCAUUUGAUUAAAAUGCAACUUAAUACCCUCUACUGGCGGUCAUUAAAGUGAACUAAACCGUUCGUAACUUAUUUUCAGGGGGACUAGAAAAUCCAGAGUUUGCAGCGAUCUGGAAAACCAGAGAAUUCAUGGAGAAAGUCAGGGAAUUUUAAGAGCAGAGUAGGCUCAGUGAUGCAGCUAUACCUUUAGAGUAAGUGCGAAUAACUUUUGAGUGCCUUUGAGCAUAAUUUGAAUCCCUAGAAAAGGAAAUUUCGUCCAAGGUUUGGAAAAAGUCACUGUGAUUAACGGAUAAAAACCCAAGUUAAAGUUUUAUGGGGAGCUCACAGGAAGUCAGAGAAUUCGGAAAUUUUGGAGUCAGGGAACUGAAAAAUGAAGAAUUAUUGAAACCCUGGAGAGUAUUUUACAUAAAAAUUCAAAAUCUCUUUCAUAAUGCUAAUUUAACAAAAAUAGCUCUCCUCUAAUAGUUUAAACCCCUGCGCAAUAACAUUUUCUUUGACUUUUGAUGGUCACACUUAAACAUUGUAGAAGCAUUUUCAUUGUCAGGUAUCAAUGAUAUCAAGUCUUCCCACUGCUUAAUUUUCAAAUACAGUAUUCUUAUUUGAUAAUUAAUGAAAUAAAAUGGAGUAGUUUGUAACAAAAAUUUUAUUUUUAUUUAAGUCCAUCAACCACCAGUUCUGGCACCUUAAAUAUACAAAAUUUAAACAGUAAACUUAACGGUAUUCAACCAUCGUUGUAAGUAAUACAAUUAAAGGGAUAAAAGUUUCUUAAGUUCAUUAAAAGUUGGUAACAAUGAUUCCCACCUUAAUAUGCGGUGAUAACAUAAGAAUAAAUUUUGAAAAAUGAUAACAAUUUUUUUUGACUAGUUCAACCUUAGCACCCUUUUCCUGAUUAAAAUAUAUCCAGCCAAACCAUUAAGUAGAGUUCCCCCUUUUGAAAAAACAACAAUACUCAGAGGCUGUGAAAGGGUCCCUUAAGGGAUUCAAUUAAGUACGUGCUACAUAUACACAAUUUUAACAAAUCGAAUUACAUUUUGAAAAGAAAAACAGAGGUCCUACAAAGUAAAAGAAUCCGGAGAUGUGUUCUCUGCUGUAUGAGUUCAUAACUACAAAAUUGAUGUCUAAGGAAAUAUUGAUUAAGGUGAAAGGUCCCAUGAUUUAAUCCGGUCAAACUGACGUUCGGAAAGACAAUAUUUGAAUUUUAUGCUCAAAAAAGGUGAGAGCCAGAGCUCAAAGUUUGCCCAGAUUUGUGACCUAAUCUGCUGAUUUGCCCACCACAUAUCUAUGAGAUGAACAACUUCAAAACAAAGCGGAUAGGAGAUAUUUGAAUAUAACUGCAUUUUGAUGUGACAAUUUAAAUGCGGCUGAUAUGGAUGAUUCCUUCGAACCUUUCUUUGAAAUUUCCUUUUAAUGAACCUCUGUUAUGAAUCACGAAGAUAUUUUGCAAGCUUUUUCAUUCAAAAAGUUUUCGUUGAGAUUGAUUUAAAAAUAAAUUUUCAACACCGUUUUUGUCCAAAACUAAAAGAACAGAAGGCUCUUUAAACCAAUGCUAGUCUUAAAUUUAUCACGGGGCUCUUGGUGACUGGUCUGUAUCCAGGCACGUAUCCAGGAUUUUAUUUUGGGGGGGGCUUGGUUGGGUGAAGGAGUGUCUGAGCGUCCAUCUGACACUGGGGGGUAAUACCCCCCAGCAUAAAGGGGGGUCCGGGGGGCCUCCCCCGGAAAAUUUUGAAAUUUAAAUUCAUCUGGGCGCAUUCUGAGGCUUCUGUGAUGCAAAUUUGCUGUCAAUUUCUGUGGAAAAAUUACGUUUUUUUUUACUUUCAGCGCAGAAUACUUUCGAAGUGUUGCAGUCGACACAGAUCGAUCCGGUAAUUUUUUGAAAUUUUAAAUUCAUCUGGGCGCAUUCUGAGGCGUUUGUGAUGCAAAUUUGCUGUCAAUUUCUGUGGAAAAAUUACGUUUUUUUUACUUUCAGCGCAGAAUAACUUCCUUUUUUCUCGCCCUUCCUUAUUUUCUGUCUCUCCUUUUCUUCGUUUCUCUCCUCUUUCUCUAAUUUCGGGGGGGGCUUGAGCCCCCCAAGUCC